UACGUAGGGACCAAGCGUUGUUCGGAUUUGCUGGGCGUAAAGGGCGCGUAGGCGGCGUGGUAAGUCACUUGUGAAAUCUCCGAGCUUAACUCGGAACUGCCAAGUGAUACUGCUGUGCUAGAGUGCAGAAGGGGCAACCGGAAUUCUUGGUGUAGCGGUGAAAUGCGUAGAUAUCAAGAGGAACACCUGAGGUGAAGACGGGUUGCUGGGCUGACACUGACGCUGAGGCGCGAAAGCGUGGGGAGCAAACAGG
rnacentral:rRNA from 1 species